rnacentral:rRNA from 1 species
AGAGUUUGAUCCUGGCUCAGAUUGAACGCUGGCGGCAUGCCUUACACAUGCAAGUCGAACGGUAACGCGGGGCAACCUGGCGACGAGUGGCGAACGGGUGAGUAAUAUAUCGGAACGUGCCCAAUAGUGGGGGAUAGCCCGGCGAAAGCCGGAUUAAUACCGCAUGAGACCUGAGGGUGAAAGCGGGGGAUUCGCAAGAACCUCGCGCUAUUGGAGCGGCCGAUAUCAGAUUAGGUAGUUGGUGGGGUAAAAGCCUACCAAGCCGACGAUCUGUAGCUGGUCUGAGAGGACGACCAGCCACACUGGGACUGAGACACGGCCCAGACUCCUACGGGAGGCAGCAGUGGGGAAUUUUGGACAAUGGGCGCAAGCCUGAUCCAGCCAUGCCGCGUGCGGGAAGAAGGCCUUCGGGUUGUAAACCGCUUUUGUCAGGGAAGAAAUCCUUUGAGUUAAUACCUCGGGGGGAUGACGGUACCUGAAGAAUAAGCACCGGCUAACUACGUGCCAGCAGCCGCGGUAAUACGUAGGGUGCGAGCGUUAAUCGGAAUUACUGGGCGUAAAGCGUGCGCAGGCGGUCUUGCAAGACAGGUGUGAAAUCCCCGGGCUUAACCUGGGAACUGCACUUGUGACUGCAAGGCUGGAGUACGGCAGAGGGGGAUGGAAUUCCGCGUGUAGCAGUGAAAUGCGUAGAUAUGCGGAGGAACACCGAUGGCGAAGGCAAUCCCCUGGGCCUGUACUGACGCUCAUGCACGAAAGCGUGGGGAGCAAACAGGAUUAGAUACCCUGGUAGUCCCAACCCUAAACGGUGCACACUUGGUGUAGGAGGAAUUGACCCCUUCUGUGCCGGAGCUAACGCGUUAAGUGUGCCGCCUGGGGAGUACGGUCGCAAGAUUAAAACUCAAAGAAAUUGACGGGGGCCCGCACAAGCGGAGGAGCAUGUGGCUUAAUUCGAUGCAACGCGAAGAACCUUACCAGGACUUGACAUGCAACUGCACGUCCCGUGAAAGCGGGAUUCCUUCGAGGGUGUUGCACAGGUGCUGCAUGGCUGUCGUCAGUUCGUGCCGUGAGGUGUUGGGUUAAGUCCCGCAACGAACGCAACCCCUGUAUUUAGUUGCCACCAUCGGUGAUGAGCCGGUGAGCACUCUAAAUAGACUGCCCGUGAUAAGCGGGAGGAAGGUGGGGAUGACGUCAAGUCAGUAUGGCCUUUAUGUCCUGGGCUGCACACGUGCUACAAUGGCCGGUACAGAGGGAAGCUAGACCGCAAGGUGGAGCAAAUCCCAUAAAACCGGCCCCAGUUCAGAUUGAAGGCUGCAACUCGCCUUCAUGAAGUUGGAUUCGCUAGUAAUGGCGCAUCAGCUACGGCGCCGUGAAUACGUUCCCGGGCCUUGUACACACCGCCCGUCACAUCAUGAAAGCCGUCUGCACCCAACGUCGCUGCUCCAACCCGCAAGGGAGGAAGGCGCCUAAGGUGUGGGUGGUGAUUGGGAUGAAGUCGUAACAAGGUA